UACGUAGGGCGCGAGCGUUGUCCGGAAUCAUUGGGCGUAAAGAGCUCGUAGGCGGCCGGUUGCGUCUGCUGUGAAAUCCCUGGGCUCAACCCAGGAACUGCGUCCAAGACUGGGAGGCUUGAAUCCGGGAGAGGGAUGCGGAAUUCCGGGUGUAGCGGUGAAAUGCGUAGAUAUCUGGAGGAACACCGGUGGCGAAGGCGGCAUCCUGGACCGGCUAUUGA
rnacentral:rRNA from 1 species